UAAGUGAAGAGUUUGAUCCUGGCUCAGAGUGAACGCUGGCGGCAGGCCUAAUACAUGCAAGUCGAACGGCAGCACAGCAGAGCUUGCUCUGUGGGUGGCGAGUGGCGGACGGGUGAGGAAUACAU
rnacentral:rRNA from 1 species